AAUGAACGCUGGCGGCGUGCUUAACACAUGCAAGUCGCACGAGAACGCUUUAGCUUGCUAAAGCAAGUAAAGUGGCGCACGGGUGAGUAACGCGUGGGCAAUCUGCCUAUAAGACUGGGAUAACUUCGGGAAACCGGAGCUAAUACCGGAUAAUUCUUUUCUACACAUGUAGAAAAGCUAAAAGACGGUUUACGCUGUCACUUAUAGAUGGGCCCGCGGCGCAUUAGCUAGUUGGUGAGGUAACGGCUCACCAAGGCCACGAUGCGUAGCCGACCUGAGAGGGUGAUCGGCCACACUGGGACUGAGACACGGCCCAGACUCCUACGGGUGGCUG
rnacentral:rRNA from 1 species